GCUCUCCCUCGACGGCACUAGCGACUUAUCUCCCAGAUAAAGCAGGCCGAAGGCUGCUUCUCAUAGUAUCCUCAUCCGCAAUGACUUUGACCCUUCUUUUUGUGGCCGUGGCGUUCUAUAUAGAGAGUUCUGCUUCAGAUUUCAGAAGACUCUCAAUUAUACAGCAUAAUGGGAAUAUUGUCGGUUGUCGGGCUUGUGUAGCAAAUAUGGGAAGGACAUGGAUAGAUAUGAAGAAUACAGUAAAGCCGUACCAGCAAUAUUGGUGGCUGCUUUCACUCUCUUUUGUGACAAAGCUCAACUUGCAGGAGAAUAUGCACUUGAUAGAUUAUGUCAUUGCAAGCGAAUGGGUUCAACCUUAGUGGCUGAAAUUUUUGUUUGCCUUUCUUUAUAACCUCAGCAUUCUCUUUUACAGGAAUAAGCAAGUAGAAGAGGAGCAAGGAUUUGUAAGGAAUGGACAUGCUGAUAAAUGGGAAAGGGUUCACCAAAUUCGAGAUAAGUUUGAAUAUGAUAGAGAGAGAAUCUGUGCAAAAAGAUGGCUCCUCCUCUUGUUACGUUACUCUCUGCAGAACCAGAGAUACAGUAUGUUGCCUUAAGAAAUAUCAACCUCAUUGUCCAAAGGCAGCCUACUAUUCUCGCCCAUGAAAUUAAGGUGUUUUUCUGCAAGUACAAUGACCCAAUUUAUGUGAAGAUGGAGAAGUUAGAAAUCAUGAUAAAGCUUGCUUCGGACA